ensembl:lncRNA
GAAAACUACCCCAGGGCAUGGCAGGGAGCCUCAGGCGGACGGCCUGGGGGCAAGCAGAGGCAGAGUGAAGGCGGAACCCUUCAGGAGGCCGGCGGCAAGGACGAUGAGGGCUCAGUCCCUCAGGAGACCUGCAGUGGCACAGAACCCCCUCAGAAGGCCGGCAGCGGUGAAGGCGGAACCCUUCAGGAGGCCGGCGAAGGCGAGGUAGAGGGCGGGUCCCCUUAAGAGGAAGGCCAGGUAGAGGGCGGGUCCCCUUAAGAGGAAGGCCAGGUAGAGGGCGGGUCCCCUCAGGAGGCAGGCCAGGUAGAGGGCGGGUCCCCUCAGGAGGCAGGCCAGGUAGAGGGCGGGUCCCCUCAGGAGGCAGGCCAGGUAGAGGGCGGGUCCCCUCUGGUGGACAGGGUAGAGGGCGGGUCCCCUCUUGUAGAAGGCCAGGCAGAGGGCGGGUCCCCUCUGGUAGAAGGCCAGGCAGAGGGCGGGUCCCCUCUGGUAGAAGGCCAGGUAGGAACGGAGGGCGUGCCUCCCCUGGACGGUCUGGAGGGCGGACCCCCUCCGGCAGGAGCAGAGGCCGGUCCCCCUCUGGAAGGAGCAGGGGGCGGGCCCCCUCAGGCAGGAGCGGAGGCCGGUCCCCCUCUGGAAGGAGCAGGGGGCGGGCCCCCUCAGGCAGGAGCGGAGGGCGGACCACCUCAAGCAGGCGAAGAGGCCGGUCCCCCUCUGGAAGGCGAGGAGCGGGCUCAGGAACCGGACAGGGCUCGGGGACCGGAGUCAGUGCGGGAGCUGGAGUGCCAGGAGGAACCGGGUGGUACCCCAAACUCUUCCAGCGAUCUAUUGCCUUCAUAAUAAAUAAAUCCUCCCACUCACGGCUAACUUGAUCGUCCGCUGGGUCCAUUGUCUUAUUUAUUUUGGCUAUCAAAUCCUCCAACUUACGGUCAAAUUGCGCGUCCGCUGGGUCCCAUCGUGACGGUGCUGUCAUUCUGUUAAGG